CGCUGGCGGCGUGCUUAACACAUGCAAGUCGAACGAUGAUCCCAGCUUGCUGGGGGAUUAGUGGCGAACGGGUGAGUAACACGUGAGUAACCUGCCCUUGACUCUGGGAUAAGCCUGGGAAACUGGGUCUAAUACCGGAUACGACCAUCUGGCGCAUGUCAUGGUGGUGGAAAGCUUUUGUGGUUUUGGAUGGACUCGCGGCCUAUCAGCUUGUUGGUGGGGUAAUGGCCUACCAAGGCGACGACGGGUAGCCGGCCUGAGAGGGUGACCGGCCACACUGGGACUGAGACACGGCCCAGACUCCUACGGGAGGCAGCAGUGGGGAAUAUUGCACAAUGGGCGAAAGCCUGAUGCAGCGACGCCGCGUGAGGGAUGACGGCCUUCGGGUUGUAAACCUCUUUCAGUAGGGAAGAAGCGAAAGUGACGGUACCUGCAGAAGAAGCGCCGGCUAACUACGUGCCAGCAGCCGCGGUAAUACGUAGGGCGCAAGCGUUAUCCGGAAUUAUUGGGCGUAAAGAGCUCGUAGGCGGUUUGUCGCGUCUGCUGUGAAAGACCGGGGCUCAACUCCGGUUCUGCAGUGGGUACGGGCAGACUAGAGUGCAGUAGGGGAGACUGGAAUUCCUGGUGUAGCGGUGAAAUGCGCAGAUAUCAGGAGGAACACCGAUGGCGAAGGCAGGUCUCUGGGCUGUAACUGACGCUGAGGAGCGAAAGCAUGGGGAGCGAACAGGAUUAGAUACCCUGGUAGUCCAUGCCGUAAACGUUGGGCACUAGGUGUGGGGGACAUUCCACGUUUUCCGCGCCGUAGCUAACGCAUUAAGUGCCCCGCCUGGGGAGUACGGCCGCAAGGCUAAAACUCAAAGGAAUUGACGGGGGCCCGCACAAGCGGCGGAGCAUGCGGAUUAAUUCGAUGCAACGCGAAGAACCUUACCAAGGCUUGACAUGAACCGGAAAGACCUGGAAACAGGU
rnacentral:rRNA from 1 species